AUUGAACGCUGGCGGCAGGCCUAACACAUGCAAGUAGGACGCAGUUGCGAACGGGUGAGUAAUGCGUAGGUAACUACCUAUUAGAGGGGGAUAACUAUUGGAAACGAUAGCUAAUACCGCAUACUAGUAGAUGGACCUGCGUUGUAUUAGCUAGUAGGUAGGGUAAUGGCCUACCUAGGCAACGAUACAUAGACGACCUGAGAGGGUGAACGGGCACACUGGGAAUGAGACACGGCCCAGAAUCCUAAGGGAGGCAGCCGUAGGGAAUCUUCGGAAAUGGGGGGAACUCUGACCGAGCAACGCCGCGGGAGUGAAGACGGUUUGCGGGUCGUAAAGCUCGGUUGUUAAGGAAGCGGUACUUAACCAGAAAGGGACGGCUAACUACGUGCCAGCAGCCGCGGUAAUAC
rnacentral:rRNA from 1 species